rnacentral:rRNA from 1 species
AUGGGCGUGGAGGUCGUCUCCGGCGGGGCUGUGGAGGCGGUGGCGCCGGCCAAGGAGGUGGGCGCGAAGGUGGAGGUGGAGGCGGGUGCGGCCGCCGUGGCCGUGGCCAAGAACAUGUCGUUCAGGGAGGAGAGCAACCGCCUGGGCGACCUCAAGGACGCCGAGCGGAAGGCGCUCGCCGAGCUCCGGGCUAAGGUCGAGGAGGCCAUCGUCGAGGGCAAGCUGUUCGACUUCGACGACGGGAGCAGCAAGGUGAAGGUGAAGGUCGAGGCCAAGAAGAAGGAGGGUAAGAAGAAGGAGGGCAAGAAGAAGAAGAAGGCCGAGGCGGCCGAGGAGAAGAAGGAGGAGGCGGCGGCCGACGAGAAGAAGCCGGAGGUGGCUGCUGAGGAGAAGAAGGAGGAGGCGGUGGCUGAGGAGAAGGUGGAAGCCGGUGAGGAGAAGAAAGAGGAGGAAGCCAAGGAGGAGGUGGCCGAGCCGGCCGGGGAGAAGAAGGAGGAGGCCGUGGCGGCCGAGGAGAAGCAGGAGGAGGCGGCUGAAGAAAAGAAAGAGCCGGAGGCCGAGGCGGCCGCGGAGAAGGAGGAGACCGCCGCCGUCGAGGCCGAGAAGGCGGCACCGGCGGUCGCCGUCGACAAGGACGUGGCGCUGUGGGGCGUGCCGCUGCUGCCGAGCAAGGGCGACGAGGCGACGGACGUGGUCCUCCUCAAGUUCCUCCGCGCGCGCGACUUCAAGGCGGGCGCCGCCUUCGACAUGCUCCGCCGCACGCUCCGGUGGCGCCGGGAGUGGAAGAGCCUGGCCGCCACCGCGGCCGACGGCGACGACUUCGAGGGCGACGCGCUCCCGGAGGGCGCGUGCCGCCUGGACGGCGCGGACCGCGAGGGCCACCCGGUGUGCUACAACGCGCUGGGCGUGUUCGCGGACGAGGCCGUGUACAGGAGCGCGCUCGGCACCGACGGCGGCAAGAAGCCGGCCCGGUUCCUCCGGUGGCGGGUGCGCGCCAUGGAGCGCCACGUGGCCGAGCUCGACUUCCGCCCCGGCGGCGCCGCGUCGCUGCUGCAGGUGACGGACCUCCGCGGCUCCCCCGGCCCCGCCAGGAAGGACCUCCGUGUCGCCAUGAAGCAGGUGCUCGACCUCUUCCAGGACAACUACCCGGAGCUCGUCGCCAGGAACAUCCUGAUCAACGUGCCGUUCUCCUACUACGCCUUCACCACCGUCUUCUUCCCGUUCCUGACGCAGCGGACCAAGAGCAAGCUGGUGGUGGCCCGCCCGUCCAAGGUCACCGAGACGCUGCUCAAGUACAUCCCCAUCGAGGCCAUCCCGGUGAAGUACGGCGGGCUGAAGCGCGACGGCGACGCCGAGUUCACCGGCGAGCACGACGCCGAGAUCGCCGAGGUGGUCGUCAAGGCGGGCGCCACCGAGGCCAUCGAGAUCGAGGCCGCCGAGGGCGACACGACGCUGACGUGGGACGUGACGGUGCUGGGGUGGGAGGUGAGGUACACGGAGGAGUUCGUGCCGGCGGACGAGGGCGCGUACACCAUCGUGGUGAGCAAGGGCCGGAAGGUGGGCGCCGGCGAGGAGGCGGUGCGCAACUCGUUCCGCGCGGCGGAGGCCGGCAAGGUGGUGAUCACGGUGGAGAACGCGACCCGCGGGAGGAAGCGGGUGCUCUUCCGGCACAAGGCCAAGAGCGCCCUCGCCAAGAAGUGA